rnacentral:lncRNA from 1 species
CAUCUGAAAGUGAAAAGUUAAUCUUUUUGUGUUUUUUUUUUCUUGAUUCCCAGAUCCGACUACCCAAAAGAGCGCAACACCCAAGACGGCCGGAGAGUGAUGUCGUCAUCGUCGACAACAAGCGUUCACGUCAUGGCCCUGGACGGCCUGGUCAACGUGAACUCACUCUUCACCAUUGCCGUCUUCGUGGGGCUUUCUCUGGCGACUCCGGGACAGAGGAGCCUCGAGAACCGGACAUCCUGCGACGCUGGGAUCGACGUGGCGAAGAAGCUGCUGGUGUUCGAGGUUGUCUCGUUCAGCUUCUUCCUGUUCUCAUCGCUUGUGGCGCAGGGACUGAAGCUGGCGAUCAACCUGCUCAACAGCAAGAAAGGAGAGGACCCGUUACAGGCCCACAUCAAUAAGAAGGUGUUGAGAUUCGGGAUGUUGGGGUCGGCUUUCGGGUCGGUCAUGGGUUGCGUGUUUCUGAUGCUGUCGAUGGUGAAUGUGAUCCAGAUCAGGCUGGGGAUGCUGUCGUGUGGCAGCAAAUCCUCCGUCCAUGCUGUGGCGGCGCUUGUUGUUUUGGUCACGACGGCUCUUUUGGUUUAUAUUUCUACUGCUGUUUAUGCUUUUCUUCACUAGCUGCUGAAUCAAAUUUUAUAUUUGUCUCCGGAUAUUGGAAUAAGAGUAAACUGUUGAUUUGCCCCCUGAACUAUCACCCAACUUUCAAUUUCCCCCCUGAACUUUUUAAUUGGAAAAUUAAGGACUUAAACUAAUUUUUUUUGGCCAAUUUCCCCCCUACAGUUAGUUUUUCAUAGAUUUCAUCCAAAUUAACGUUAACUCUUAUCAUGUGCAAACCACGUAACUCUCAUUUGUGGACAAAAGUGUCAUUUCACUAGACUUUUAGAUACAAAAGCUAUAGAAUCACACAUAUUUGCAUAGGUUUAUAUUUUAGAAAUAUAAGGUUUUCAAUUAUUUUAAAGAAUGAAGCGACCGAACUACCCACACAUGUUGUGCAUAUGCUUCCAUUUAACAAAAAUUUGGAUGGAAUGAAUGAAAAAUUAACAGCAGGGGGUAAAUCGGCCAAAAAAAUUAGUUUAAGUCCUUAAUUUUCCAAUUAAAAAGUUCAGGGGGGAAAUCGAAAGUUGGGUGAUAGUUUAGGGGGCAAAUCGGUAGUAUACUCUUGGAAUAAUGGAAUGUCUGUGACGGUAUUUCUAUGAAUUGCACGGAUUCUGUUGCUGAGAGGUCCUCCUUUGUUUGAGAUUUUAGGUGACCCUGAUUUGGUUGAGAGUGAAAUCUUUAAAAAUUGGCAACUUGGAAUAGAAUAUGCUUCAUUAGAGUACUUAGGUAAUGUUGGUCGGACACUUGGAAUGAGUAGGAAUGGGCAAAAUACCUAUGGGUUUAGGUAACUGCGGUUACUUACCCAUUUAAAGUUUAUGAUUACGGUUAUGGAUAACCAUUUAGACGAACAAACGGUUAUGGGUAUAACCGUUUAUCCGUGAAAUUUAAAUGGACGGUUAUGGGUAUUAGCCAUUGUUAUAAUGGAUAUCCAUCGGUUAUAGGUAUUACAUGUGGUUAUAAUGAAUAUCCAUUUAUCCAUUUAAUUUAAUACAUGUAAAAUUAAAAAAAAAAAAAUUAAAAACCCUAAAUUUUCAAUCUCUCCACUAGCCUCAAAGUCUCAAACGCUCCGUCCUCGCUGAAUCAACCACCAUUGCAUAUUCUUUCAAAAAGUUCUCCUCCAGCUGCAUUUUCCAUCUCAAUUGCUAAAUCGUUUGGUGUUAACAGCACCUACGUAAAUUAACACACACACACACAGAGUAGAAUUAAAAGUUAUUGAUGAAUAAAACAAGCAUGAAUAUUUGACUUUAAACCAAGUGAAAUUAAAAGUUAACGACAAAAGGUAGUCUGAUUGUUCUCUAUCAAAAAUGUUUAGUUUCGAAAUAUUUUGGAGCUUUGAAUCAUCUAGUAUUCAAGAUAAUGACUACUUUUUGUUUUUAGAAACUUUACUUUGUAAUCAUAUGGAUUAUAAUUAAAGACUUGAUUGAGUGUAGUAGAAAAAUAUCGUUUUUAAACUAUUAUUUCAAUUAUUGGAAUUGUAUGAGGACUUAAAUGAUUAAAAUAGGAAAAUGCAUGCUAAAAUGUACCUAUAAUGAUGUUUAAUUGUUAGAAAACGAAAAUUAUAACAAAAUUUUCUUUUGCAAUUUUCAAGUUGUUAAAAAAAAAAACAUGUAGAUGAGUGAAAAAAGGGUAAAUGGGUAAAAAAAAGAAGAAGAUAAACGGGUUCAAAAACAAGUAAACGAGUAAAUAAUUAUGGUUAAAUGGGUAAACGGUUGUGAUUAAAUGGGUAAACGGUUAUGUGUAUGGGUAUAAUAAUUUAUGCAAUUACUCAACGGGUAAACGGUUAUGCGGGUAUGAACAUAAAUGGUUAUGGGUAAAUAACCGCAGUUACCUGUCUGUCAUAACCGUUGCCCAUUCCUAGUAAUGAGGGUUUAUGGAAACUUACCUACAUUGGAGAUGACCUUAUGGUGAUCUCAUAGCCAAUCACACAUGUGUUGUCAUGUGGAGUAGGACACUCAGUCACAUAAUGUUUUAAGAUAUUGUUACGAUAGCAUCCCCCACUGAUUCUGUCCAGUUGCUGCUAGUGUUGCUAGUGUUGAAUGUUUGAUUAGAUUAUGAUUGAUUUCGAUCACAUUACAAACUUGGCUGAGAAAACAAAGCCGUCAUUUCAUCCGAACUAGUCGCUAAUGCAAAAUAUGGUUGAAUUUUGGACGACACCAUCAUAUGAUGUUAGAGUACGGUUUUUGGUGUCAGUUGCUAAUUGUUUUUGUUUGAACUAGGUUCUCACUGUCGGGACCUCGGGACAUGGCAUUAUGUUUGGCUUGCUUAUUCGUUGUAUGCCGAAUAGCAUAACGGAUGACAUAUAGGAACCUCGACCGUGUCUACGAGCAAUAUUGGCCGGUGCGCUGGUCGGUAUUAUAAUCGGCACAUGACAACCCCAAGAAGUAGUAUGCCCGCCCCCUAACCUCCAACGGGUGCCGAGAAGAAGCUUGUUUAAUGUGCCAAGGGUCCGAGCACCGGGGACGUUUGGGAGCUUGUUUAGCCGUAAUAAAUCUAUAUGAACUCGGAUUUAGUUGCAUUGGACUCGUUUCAACAUCCCGAUAUGGUCUUGCGUUUGAGACCCUUGUUUUUCGUUUGUUGAACAUUUCUACUCGAAUCGGACUCGUGCUUGACUUUGGGACUGGAGUUUCCACAAACAACUAGAGAAGCGAAAUUAUUAUCUCAUUUCAAUUUUUAUUUUCAGGUCUCUCGAUUUAUAAUAAUAAUAAAUAACCAUGAAUCAACAUUCAUUGUCUCCUUCUGCACUCCUCCCUUUGUUUGUGUCCUUGAUUUACUCUGAGUCGUAUGGCUAGAAAAAGAGGGAGGAGCAAGAUAUGUGAGUGUCAAAAAUCAAUUCGCUAAAUUAAAAUGAAACUAAAGAAAAAUAAUAGAGUACGCAAAAGAUUAUGGAGUUAGAAGAACUUGCUACUUAUACGUAUGCUAUUUGUACAACCAAAGGGUAAAUCAACUGAAAAAAAAAACAAAAAACAAAGAACGAAAACUACAGGAUAAUUCAGUUUCUGCUCCACCGAAAACUAAGAUUUAUAGUUUUUCUUUUAACAAGACGAUAAUCUAAACUACUCUUAUCUAAUCUAUGGGGAGGGGAUUUGAACUCAAAUGCAAGAGACAGACACACUGCCUUGACCAACUGACCAGACCCACAUUUGCAAAUUAGGUCUUGAAUACAGGGAAUAGCGUAUGAAAGGAGCUGAAACAAUCAAGUAGCCUUUUAACCGUUUCAAGGUGCUACCCUCUUUGAUUCAAUUUCUUUCACGCUCUGGACUAUACCGUCAAUGUUUCUCGACAAGUGAUUGGAAUGUUCUUCCAUCUGCCUCAAAACCAUAUCAAGCUGUUCUUGAUAGGUGGCAGACAUCUUUCGCUCACGUUGCAACUCAGCCGUCAACUCCCGAAUUUUCAGAUAUUUUUCGUCCUGGAACAAACCAAAAAGCAAAUCAAUAGCAAUUAUUGAUUGUUAUGGGAAAUAUUAUGGUAGCAUAAUGCAAAGAACUCUUCCCCUGCCCUGCCCUCACAAACAUACGUCGGGUAUCUGCUAGGUGGCUUUAACAAGCCCUGGUCAAAUAUGUAAAACGUUACUGUAACCACUGUAAAUUAGAGCACAAACCCUACAUGUAAAACGUUUACUGUAACCACGAUAAAGUUAAACGAGACACCUAUUACAUCUCACAAAACGGCCAGGGAAGCAAUUACAUAUAGCACUCGAGGGGACUUGUCCAAAUUCUAAGAACAGUUACUACCAAAAGAAACCAUUAAAACGUCUUUAUUUAAUUAUUUUAUUACAUCUUGAGUAAGUUUAUAAAGCUAAGGACCCAUUUGAUAAACAUUUUGGUUUUAGCUUUUAGUUCUUAUUUUUUGUGCUAGAGACCGGGGGAAAGUAUAUUGGAUGAAAUAAGGAAUGGAGAAGGAUAAAGGGAGGCGGUGUGAGGGAGGAGGGAGAAAUGUAGAUCAUAUGAAAACAAAAACGUUAAAGUGAAAUCAACUCAAAAUUGUUUUUAGUUUUCAUUUUUGUCAUUCCUUUCCUUUCCUUUCCUCCACCCUCCUUCCUUCACCCUUCUUUAUCUCUCCAUCCCUUUCUCCCACAAGUACUUCUCCACCAUAUAUAUCACAAAAAAUUAAAACUAAAAACGAAAUGGUUAUCAAACAGGUCCUGAGUUUUAGAUUGAACGUCAAAACUGGUUUUAACAAUUUGGAGGUGACAAAAAAUGGGUUGCCUAGUACGCCUUUGAGAAAUAUAUGAACUACAUUCUUCAAACAAGGAAAACCAAAAGAACGAUAUCAUCAGGGAACCUUUUCAAGCAAGGGGCAUCUGCUAACUUCAUCCAAUUAACCAGAAUCCCUACUAAUAUAAUGCAGGGUUGCAUUAGCAAAAGUAACUUUCCAGCUUGCAAAAGCUCCAAAUCACUUGCAGGCAACAGAGACUAGACCAUCUGAUGCAAUUUCAAAUAUACAACGGACAGAAACUAGAUAAUCGAUUAACUUAACCAACACAAGGAAACAAAAUAAACCGCUAACUUAACAGAAAUCACAAUGCAUCUGUCUUACAAAAUAAACCUAUAAGCGAGCAACUCAAAGAUGCAGAUAAGAAGCACUCACUGGUGUUUGAGACAGAAGCAUACUGCGGCGACCAUUUGCAGGUGUACCUACUAGUGGACGGUUAUGCUCCUUUAUAAAUCGUGUUACGAUCCAUUUUCCUGAUUUGUCUUUCUUUACCACAAGCAUCGCUUUGCACCCUUCUCUGGUGAUUGCUCGAGGCUUCCUAUUCUCAGUUCUUUUGGCUCGCGUCAUGCGAAAUCCCUCUUUGUUACACACAAGCCUCCGCCAAACUACCUUACCAUCACGCAUUGAUCUCCGGAAGGCAUCGACUCGCAUAAUGAAGCCCACCUGUGUUGCAUAUGCAUCAUAGAACACUUUCGCAGCCUCUUCAUAUUCAAACUCCAUACCCACAAAUGGUUCUGUAUCCGAGUUCCCCUCAUAUGUGACUGCCUCUUUCCCAUUGGAACUCUCUAACACGUCCUCAUCCUUGCUCAUAGAAGGUUCUUCAUCAUCCACUGCCCAAAUAAGCAUUGUGAUAAGACUCCAUCUAAGGUUCUACCUUCCAAAAUUCAAGCAAAACAAUAAUUUUGCGAAGAAAAAUGCGAUUUUUUAUACCAAACUAGUUUUCGAUUACCUAAUGAAUUGUGCAAAGUCUCACAUCAUAGUGUAACCAAACAAAACCUUACUAAAAUAUUUUACCAAUGUAAUGAUUCUGAUCACACACGCAGAAUAACACAUCUAUAUCUCAACUAUCCACUGGAAAACAUAACCUGCGUUAUGUUUGGCUGCCGAGAAAACACAAGAAAAUACCAACAACAGACUGGAAAACUGAGAACAACCCAAGAUUGGGGUUACUGAAUUCUAAGUUACCCAACUCAUAGUUGUCUACUUUUGCUCAGCAUCCAAACAGAUUAAGGAAAUUCCAAAAACAACAAACAACACAAUCGAAGGUUUAACGUGAGUGCAGAUUAAGAAAUUAAAGAGUGAAAAUGCUAAGAUAAAAUGAUUAACUCACUUGCUGUGACAGAGAGAUCGCGACCCAACAGUUUGCUUGGCUUCUGCAAUAGAGAGGAAGCAGAAAGUUCGCUCCUUUUUUGUUCUUCUGGUUUUGGGGAGGUGGCGGGCGGUUGAAGCGUUUGAGCUCGAACUCCAGGGUGUUGGCAGGUGAACGAUCCACUGCGGCGAAGAAAUGCAUCACUGAAAGUCCUGAAUAACUUGAAGGGAGAUACUUCGCUCAUUCCCUUGGAUGCACAAUUUCUACUUACCUGCUAAUCACAGUUUGACACCAAGUACAAAAAAAAUGUUCUUGUGUUUUUAUAGUUGGGGUGGUAACUGAUUUUUCCGUUGGGACGUCGAUAUUAGGAAAAUAAGAGGUUAUUUUUCCUUUAUCUUGAAUCCUUCUCUCGUUGGCCAGUAUGAGAAAUAACCUCAAUGUGUGCACCACCACCACCAGUAUCGUAACCGGUAACAAAAGUCUGGACUUUUUCGUUUUAAGGAUCUGACAAUGUUUCCAAUUUCUAAGGACAUAGAAAGGGAUCCGGGGCCUUUAUGAUAGUAGAAAGGGGAGGGGGACGACCCGCUGAAUUCACAUUAGAAAUUGACAACGUCAACACAAACGAAAUCUUGAAUUGUGUAAUGAAACAAGAUGAACCACUUCUAUUCUCCAAGCUGAGGUAUAUGAAGAAUGGCUUUUUGGUCCCUUUCAUCCAGUGGUCAGGACAUUGUCUUUUCGUGUAGAAGAUACGGGUUCGAUUCUCGUGACGGAUAGGUAUUCAUUCCUGGCCGCUUUUGGUUAGUGUUCAUUGUUGAGUGAUCGCUCGCUAUUUGGCUAGAAAAGGUGGUAUGGAAGGCUUCUUCUCUCCAAAAAUUAACUUGGCUCCUCAAUUCGUAUGUAACCGAUUUACAAAACUUUAUGUUUAUGAUCGGAGCUGUUCAUAUUAUAAAUCGCUCUCUGUAAUAAUCAUCUCUGCAAAAAAAAUCAAUUAAAUAUGAAAUUUGGUCAUCCAAAUGUACAAAACAGAUGGAAUGAUUUGGUAAAAGAAUCAUGAACCAUUUAUCUAUUUGUUACUAUUGAUUAAUUAAACAACCUUAGUUCUAAUUGAGUUUUUAGAGAUGACCUUUACAAAGAUUUAUAAUAUAAACACGAAAAUUUGUAAAUCAACUGCUAAGUGAAUUGAGGAGGAACUCCUCAGUCUUGAGGAGCCAAGCCUUGGCUUUAUAUCAAUGAUGAGAGAACUCAUAUGGUCCUGUAGUUCAUUCAAUUCCAAUAGCCGAUGUUGACGCCAACGCCUCGGUGAAUGAAAGAGAACGGUUGUACCUCCAGCCACCGUAAAUCUCGUGCUUGCAUAACUGCAUUGGUGUUCAAUACAUUUUAGCUACUGAAUAACUUGAAGGAAAGUGCCCGGCUCCUUCAUUUGGAAUGUUAAAAACCUGCUAAUCAGAGUUUAACACUAUAUGUGAACUUUUAUUUUUGUGUAUGGCUUCACUUUCAACAACGUUAAUUAAGGCCCGCUCCUUGCAAAUCUUAUUGACCAAAAAAAAGGAAUAUGGCUUCUAAUUUCCAGUCAUUUUAAUUUUGUGAGCAAUGCUUUAGGUUUGUACACCUUUUCUUUUUGGAGUUUUUAUCACAAACGAUCUUUGAAAUUAACUUAACUCAACAUUUUGGUCUUUCAAUUUGAAAAUCAAUCAAUAUCGUCCCUGAAAUUUAUUACCAUACAUCUAUAUGAUCCUUGCCAUUUGAUUCUGUCAAAUUUUAUGUUAAUUUGAUGAAGUAGCAAACCCGGAGUCCACACAAUUAAUUUUUGAAAUUAAAAAAACUAGGAAAAGCUUGCGGACUAGACCCGGUAGUUUUUGAUACGACAUGGCGACACAACACAAAAACGACACGAAAAUAACGGGUUUCGAGUCAACAAGAUAACUUAUUGGGUCAUUAUCGGGUGACCCGUUAAUAACGGGUAUACACGCGAGUAACACGUGGGUAACCCGUUAAGAAAAAAUUUAUUUUGAUAAUUUUAAAGUUUAAUUACUAAAAGAUUUAUUAUAAAAUACAAUAGCCAUAUUAAUAUAUACAAUAUAUUCUAUAUUAAAUAUAUAGUUUUGUAUUAUUCUAUAUAAGUUUAAAAAAAAAAAAGUUGUAGUCAUUAUUUAUUUUUAUUAUGAGAGUCCCUUAUUAUCAUUACUAGGAUAAAUUUUACUUAACAUGUUGUUGUCCAAAAUUAAAAUAAACUAAUAUAGUAUUUGUAUAUGCAAGAACUAAGAAGACAUACAUACAAGUAUGAAAAAUGUGAGAGAAUAUAUAAACACUCGUGAUUCAUCAUUAUUCCUCCACGAGUAGAUAAUGGUUACACUUACAUUAUCGUUUAGAUUUUUAAAAUCCUCCAAACCUUCAUGAAUAAUGUUUUUUAUUUGAGGACAAAAUUAAUAAAAUUAAUAAUAAUUAUUGUAGAAGUGUAAAAAAUGUAAAAAAAAAAAAAUACAAUCACUCAUAGUGACAAACUUUACAAUUUUCAUGAAGGGGUUAGCUUCGAAAUUCAACACUAUAAUUCAUAAACCUUAAAUUUAUAUUUAACCGUCGAUUACCAUUUACGCUUUAUUCUUCUUACUGAAUUUCAUUUUUAAAAUUUUCUUUUUUGAAAACAUGAUCAUCUGGCGGAUGUAAGAAGAUGAACAGUUCAGAUCUUUGAUAUCACGUUUUGAUAUUUACGGUUAACUGAAAUAUGAGUCGAUCUCAUAUAGUUUGUAGAAACUUUAUAAACAUCAAGCAAUAUUUUCACUAACCGUAAAAUUAUGAAUAUAAUAUCAACGAUCCAAACCGUUAAUCUUCCUGCAUCAUCUAAUAGAUCAAGUUUUCAAAAAACAAAAUUUGAAAAAACAAAAUUUGAUGAGAACAAUGAAGAGUAAAUGUAAACAACAAUCAAUGGUUAAAUUUUGAUCUAUGAUUUAUAUAAUUAUAGUGGCGAAUUUCGAAGUUAAGCUCUUCAUAAAAGUUGUAAAGCUUGUCAUUACGAGUAUUUAUAUAUUUUUUUACACUUCUACAUUAAUUAAAUAACUAUUAAAGACUUUAUGUAAAUGAAAAUAUACUUAAAAGAAAAUUGCGUUUUUAUGUUUUGGAUGUGACAAUAUGAUAUGUAUAUACUUAUUUAGUAUUAUGUUUUUCAUUUGAUUAUUUAUUGGUUUAAAAUAUAUUUUCCUUAAUAGGUAACGGGUCAGGUCAUAUUACCGGUUUAUUUUAACGGGUGUUACACGACACAACCUAUUAAGAUAUCAGGUAUGACAUGAAAACGACACGAACAUGAAAAACACGAUAUGAAUGCCAGGUCUACUGCAGACUCUGUUGGCUGCUUCCUUUGCCUAGUUUUAUUAUUAGCACGUUUAGGUUAUUAGCUUUGAUUUUCCCAAAUAUAAUGCUGCACUGAAUUGCUUCUUAUCGGUGAGAUGAAUCUGAUAUAUGUUGUUGUUUCAGUAUUUGUUUUAGAUUUUUUCAUUUGCAUCGAGACACUUGUGUUUUCUUUUUUAGGUUUAUUUAAUUUCUAAAUAUAAGAAAAUUUAACAAGAUCAAGAGGCAAGGACCACAUUGAUAUACUGUGACCGGGGUCUUUGUGGUCCAAAAUAAUAAAAUGAUAAAUAACAGUAAAGUAAGGAUGAGACUUUUGGUAGUACCGGUGAACCAAAUGGCUACAGCGAUGGAAUUUGGGAUGGAUAUGUAGUAUCUCUCUAGAUCUAGCAAAGCAAAAGACCCCCUAACGUAAUUCGCAUGGGGGCUAAUCGUUAAGUUCACCCUAGCCUCGCAGGGCGGGCCCCCGCAGUCUCAAGCCAUAGCUUAUGGGAUAUUACAAUAACAACAAAGCCUUUUACCACUAAGUGGGGUCGGCUGUAUGAAUUCUAGAACGUCAUUGCGCUCGGUUAUGUGCCACGUCUUUCGUUAUAUCCAAGUACUCCAAGUUUUUUUUUUAGAGUCUCUUCCAAAGUCUUUCUAGAUCUUCCUCUACCCCUUUGACCCUGAACAUCUAUCUCGUAAUUACAUCUUCUAACCGGAGCGUCUGUAGGUCUUUGUUUCCCAUGCCCAAACCAAAGUAACCGAUUUUCUCUCAUCUUUCUCGUGUGCCCACACAUACAAUGAAGCAUUCUCAUCUCCACUACUCUCAUUUUAUAUACGUGUUGAUGCUUUACUGCCCAACAUUCGGUGCUAUAAAACAUUGUUGGCCUUAUUGAUGUCCUAUAAAAUUUUCCCUUGAGCUUUAGGAAGGACAUUGAUUAAUUUAAAUUGAAUGACCAAAAUGAUGAGUUAGAAGUUAUUUAGUACUACAGUCUGGUAAUAUUUCUUGUCACUUGUAAAUGAGAGGUCUUAAGUUCGAUUCUCACUAAAGACGAGCUUAAACCACAUUAUUGCUAGACUGCUAGUUCAUUAUGAGGUUAAACCAACCCUCUUUUUCUUAGUGUAGAUAAUAUUAUUUGUUAAAAAAUAAUGAGAUAGAAUGGACUCCAUAUAAUGGACGUUUAGGUCAAGUCAUUUUAUAUAAAUUUUAUGUUUUAAUUUUCUUAAAUAAUGACAAGUUAUUUGAUCUUAUCUUAAAUGUUUUCAAUGGCGUAUUGUGAAUCACGUGGCCAAGACUAUUAGUUGAACGUCUUAGGCUGAUGUUAAGUUUCAACAACCCUAGGCUGAUGUUAACUUUCAAUGACCUUAAUCAAGGUCUACUCUGUUAACCUUCAACAACCAUAAUAAUUAAGGCUUUACUCCUUGGAAAUCUUAUUGACCAAAAAUAACAUGGCUUCUAAUUUUCAGUCAUUUUAAUUUUGUGAGCAAUGCUUUUGAUGCAUUAGAUGUAAUCAGAAUAUCAAAAUAGCUUGUUCACUCUUCUAGGAGGCGUUAGACGGUUGACGAUCGUCCUGAUUAGUUCUUAAGCGUUUGAAAAUUAAGAAAUAACGCCUAGAUCUGCUUCAACGUCCGCCUAGCCCGGCUAAGGGCUAGUUUGGUAUUGCUGUGCUUUGAAAAAAAGCUGCUUCUGCUGUGCUGUGAGAAUAAGUAGCUGUGAAAUAAAACAGCAGAGUGUUUGGUAAACUUUUUGUAAAAGUGCUUUGGAAAAAAAUAACAGUAUUAUAGUGUUUGGUAAACUUUUAUGUAAAACAGAUGUGAAAAAAGCCGGUUUUUCAAAGCUGGGUUUUGCAGCUUCUUGUUUUUGACUUUUUUUCACCAAAAAUUGUGAAAAAAAACUGAAGCUAAAUGUUUACCAAACAUAAAAAUAGCUCCCAGCGUUUUUUGAUACCAGCUUUUUUUCAGAAUCACCUCAGUACCAAACCAGGCCUAAGCACCCGCCUAGAUUGUCUAGACCUACCUAGGUUGCAACUAUCACUUAAACAAAAAAUUGAUAACUUUCUUUUUGUAUUUUAUAUUUUCAAUAAAAUGUAAGAGACUUGUUGAAUAUUUGGAUGAACAUCCAUUAUAUAUUUAUUUCUCAUAUUUUCUAUAUGUUCUAAUACUAUGUAAUCUAUAUGUCAUUUUAUUUUGCAAUUUAUGUAUCCCAAUACAUUUAUGUGUUUUUUAGUAUAAAUAUGCAUUUAUUUAUAUGAUAUAUAAUAAAUUUCCUAAAUCCCCCUAGCCACUUAGGCGCUAGGCUCCAACACGUCGUCCAACUAGCACCUAGAGUCGUUUAGAACCUUGAGCCUAUUAAAGGUUCUAGUAAUUUUUUCUGGGUUUUUAUUACGUAGCUAAAAUAAAUAUAACUCAUCAUUUUGGUCCCUUACUUUAAAAAUCAAUUAGUGUCGUCCUUAAAAUUUACUACCACACAUUAAUGUGGUCCUUACUGUUUGAUUCCGCCAAAUUUUCUAUUAAUUUGAUGAUAUAGCAAACAUGGAGUCCACAGAGUCAAUUUUUGAAAUAUAAAAAAAAAAAAAAAAAAGGCAAAGUCUCCAGGCUCUGUUUGCUGCUUCCCUUGCCUAGUUUGAUUAUUAGCACAUUUAGGAUCCGUUUGUUGCGCCGGACUGUCUCGGACUGGACUGGCUUAGACUAGACUAAGCUGGACUAACUUAGUGAAGCGUUUGUUACAGUGUCAGACUAAGAAGUAGGAUAAUAAAAACAGUACUGUUCACCAGAUUUGUGUUUGCUUAGACUAGGACUACAAGUUUUUGCCAUUGUGUAAUAGAGUAAUGCUACAAAUCUCAUGAUAUGGGUUAAUUGGAGCAUAUUUUGCCAUGUAUAUUAUGAAUCUUAAAAAAAGAGGACAAUUGUUUUGUUUCUAUUACCUGCUAAUAGAAUUGGGACAUACUAUAGUUGGGACAUGCUAUUUAUAAAUAGUUGAGUUUAAUUUGCAAAUGUAGCUUGGUUUAAACUCUAUCACCCAAAAGAAGAAAAAGAAUAAUGCCCAAUACAUGCAACUUCAACAAAUACAAGUACAUAAGAAGAUACUUGUGACAAGUCAAUCUUUGCUAUUGAUUGACUCUUAAAAUAUCAUUCACUAAACUUUGAUCCAGGAUAUUUUACAAAAUGCCAGUGAACUAUAGUAUAGCAUUCCAAAGUAGAUCUCCAUAAUUUACAAAAUCCUAGUUAACAUUAGCCAAAAUACUUUAUAGUGCAAAGCUAAGUUAUAAGCCAUAACAUAAGAUUGUACGAUUAAUAAAAUACAUCCAUGUCAAAAGGCACCACAUAAUAUACUCAUCCGCUUGCUUUGUCGCUUAAAAGCCUUUGGACGAACACUUUCUUGAGUUCCGAUUUGAUUGCCUUGAACACUCCCACAUUUUGUGGUUUUUCCAAAAUAAAAGACAAUGCAUCAAUUUGAUCCAUAGGAGAAAGACCCAUUGGUUCAAGUUCGUUAGCUAUGUCACUAUGAUCUGCAGUACCUUGAAUUAAAGCUUCAGUUACCAUUUGCAUCCUCUUCCCACUUUCAACAUAAAAAUCUUUCAGUCCACUGAUAAUUGCCUCGGGUUCCAUCACUUGAACUUCCCGCAGCUCUUUUCCUCUUUCUUUGGCUAUUUUCAGAUGAGGUGCUUUGUUGGCUUUGUUGGUUCAUUGAAGAAACAAAAUUUUCACUUCCAAUAUCACUUGCACAAACUUUAUCAUGACUUUGUUCCUCCACCAUUUCAGCAGGGGUUUCGGCUACAUUACAUGCAGCCCGAUCUUUUCCAAAUAUAUAUGCAAAUUUAUCAUACAGUGGAAAAUGUUUGCUUCUCCAUCCAUCGACUUCUUUAUUUUUCUAAGAUUAUAUCAACAUAGCAAAACUAAAAUUUAGCAUGCAUAACAAAUACAGCGGCAAGAAUAUAACUAAUGUAUAAAUAAAAUAGGAUAUGAACCUGCACAUAAGUUUGCCAUGCGUCAUCACUGUCAACUUCAACGCACUUUUUGACAUCAUUCCAUGCAAAUCCACUUGUGUUUAUCAUGUCAACAACCAAACUAUAUGUUUUUUUUCCAUUUCUUCAACUUUGACUCAAUAUGUGGAGUUGCCUUUAUAUUGGAAUGAAGACAUAAAACAUUGACAACUUUCACUAUUUCAAUCAAAGUACCUUGUUUGAAAGCACCGGUGUCACACCGUUGCUUCCGAGCAAAAGGUAUAAAAUAUUGAUGAUAUCAGAAAUAUCGGUAGUCCAAAAACACAGAAAUUUCGAUGGAAAUAUCGGGAUAUUAUCGAUAUCGAUAAAAAUUGAAUAAAAACCACGGAAAUUGUAAGAAAAACUUGGAAAUUUUUAUUGAAACUUUGCAGGAUGUUUAUUUAGUCAAUUAUCUAUUAGUUUAUCACAAAAAAUUGGAAGGAAAUGCAUUGCAUGAUAGAUAUAACUGAUUUAAGUUGAUUAUAUAGCGAGCUGGCAAAUAUUGUGAGUGUAGAAAAUAUGUAGUAAUUAAUUAAAGAAGUUUAAACACACCAUAAUCAUUUAUAUAAUGAAUUAGUACAAUAUUUUACACUUUAUACAUUGCAUGGUAAGAUACAUGAGUGACUUAGCAAGGUCUAAAAUAUCGAUAAUAUUGGAAAUAUCGGUAAUCCAAAAAAAUAUCGGUAGUCCAAAAACACGGAAAUUUCGAUGGAAAUAUUGAGAUAUUAUGGAUAUUUUAGACCAUCAAAAAAAGCCUCAAGAACGGAUAGUAAUGCUUCUUCCUCAAAUGCUUCCCAUUUACGCAUUCUUCCUUUUGGCUCUUGAGUAGCAUUCAAAAUAUUGUCGUUAUCCAUACCUAAACAAAAAAUAUUUGAAUUUACUAAAAUACAAUACAAAUAAUCAAUUUGCAUAAUAUCCAAUUAAUUGGCAUACCAUCCAAUCAAUAAAAAAGUUUUAACAUUCAUUGAUGAGCAAUCUAAUCAUUUUGCUAAUAUCCAACAAAUGCAUGAUAAAAAUGAAUACUAAAAUAAAAUGUUAUCAUUAACACAUAUAACUAGUUCGGUUGUUGGUUCCUAAUUGCUCUCCACUCAUUAUACAUUUUCUGAGCCAUGGCAUUCCUCUUUGUAGUCCACUAGUAAGAUGUUUCAACACUACCAACAUAUUCACCUUCUUCUGUAUUUUGUCCAUCUUCUAUUAUUGGCAAAUUCUCCAUUGGAUCUACAGACAUCUCUUGCCUAAUAAGAUUGUGUAGUAGGCAACAAGCAGUAAUUAUUCGACCUUGUGUCCUUAUCGGAUAGAAAGAUGGACUCCUUAGUAUCGACCACCUUCCUUUUAGCAAGCCAAAACAGCGUUCAAUUACAUUCCUUGCCUUAGAAUGCUUCAUGUUAAAAUAUUCUUCCUUAUUAGAAGGUGUCCGUCCCUCCCAUUCAGAUAAAUGAUAAGGUAUUCCUCUAUAGGGUGCAAGGAAUCCUUCACCAUUUGUAUAACCAUCAUCUGCAAGGUAAUAAUAACCUAAUAAAAAAGCAGACCUUAUUAACGUUUUGUAGUUGACAAACAAAACUAGACCUAACUUACAAAGUUGAGACUAACUAAUAGUCUUACCCGCUGGUACCUUAAAACCAUUAGGCCUAUUAAUUGCAUCAUGUAGCAUUCUAGAGUCUGAUGCCGAACCCUCCCACCCCGGAAACACAUAUAUGAACUGCAUAUCUCCUGAACACACACCUAACACAUUAGUUGCGACUCGACCCUUUCUUGUUAGGUAUCUUGGUUUGUCAAUUUCAGGUACAUGCACAUCAAUGUGUGUUCCAUCUAAUGCUCCCAAGCAAUUCUAAAAAAAAAAUAAAAAAAAGCUUUUGCUAAUUUAUACAAAGGGAAUGAAGAGUUAAAGCUUAGGGAAAAUGAAAAAAAAAUUAUCAUCAUACCUUAAAACAUCGCCACCUAGGAUUUGUAGAAUCAAUAGGCACAUGCUAAGGGACUUUUAGUAGGAUACCUUGUAAUCGCAAAAUUCCUUGCAAUACGCUAUUGAAAUACCUACUUAUAGUCUCUCCCGACCUAUAAAAUCUACCGCCAACACUACGAUUCUUAGUAUGAUGUGCUAAUAUUUGUAAAGUCAUACACACCUGCUUCUCUACAAACACCAAACCAUCCGUUUUUACCCUCCCAUCUUGACGAAGUAAUUCACAUAAUAUGCUAAAAGUCCUUCUAUCCAUUCUCAAUUCGUUGACACAUUCAAUAUCAGUAUUCCCUAUUAUACCAUUCAGAUAACACAAACUAAUCUCUCGUUUAACAAGUGAACGGUUAGUCAAAGUGCGUCGUUCAACAUGUCUCUAUUUGGCCCUUAGCAUCAGUAACACAAGAAUCGUACAAAUGCAAAUUGUCUCUAAAUGAGACAUUUGUAACAAUAAGAUCAAUAAAAGCUUCAUUCGCUCCAUAUCUAUCCAAACAAAAAAAAAAGAAAACAAAAAAUAAGGACAUUAUAUAUGCAGAAUACACACACACACACACAGAGUACACACAAACACACACACACAGAGAUUACACACACACACACACACACACACAGAUUACACACACACACAUAGUACACACAAACACACACACAGAGUACACACAAACACACACAUACACAUAAAAAUUACACACACACACACACAUAUAGAUUACACACACACACAAAUUACACACACACAGAGUACACACAAACACACACAGAGUACACACAAGCACACACACAGAGAUUACAAACACACACACACACACACACAAAUUACACACACUCACACACACACACACACAUAUUACACACACACACAUAGAUUACACAUACACACACACAGAGUACACACAAACACACACACACAUAUUACAUUCACACACAGAGAUUACACACACACACACACAAAUUACACACACACAAAGAUUACACACACACACACACACACACACAUAUAUUACACACAAACAGAGUACACACAAACACACACACGCACAGAUUACACACACACACACACACACACACACACACACACACACACACACACAGAGUACACACAAACACAUACACACACAGAUUACACACUCAUACACACACACAAAGUACACACAAACACACACACACAGAUUGCACACACACACACACAAAUUACACACACACACACACAUAGAUUACACACACACACACAUAAAGAUUCCACACACACACACACACAAAUUACACACACACACACACAGAGAUUACACACAUAUACACAGAGAUUACACACAUGCACAAAGAGUACACACAAACACACACAAACACACACACACACACAGAGUACACACAAACACAUACAAACACACACACACACACACACACACAUAGAUACAUACACACACACAGAGUACACAAACACACACACACACACACAUGCACAGACACACACACACACAGAGUACUCUCAUUGUUGAAACCCCAAAUUUUAAAAUCGAAAACAGCAUGUGGGUAGGAAUUUCAAGUUUCACAACUUUGACAUCCUAAAUUCCCAAGUUCCAUCUCAUCUUAUGAAAACCCCAAAUUCUAAUCUCAAAUUCACCUAAAUAUCAAAACCCUAAUUUGUUCAAGUGCAGAGGUCUAUGAUUUAAAAUUUCUCAAACCCAAAACAACAAAAUUAAAUAAAGCUCAGUUAAUAUCACAAACUAAUCCACACAAAUCGACGAAAUAAAUCGAAGAUUCGAAGCUUACCAGACAACUCGAGGCAGAUGAGGGCGAGCAGCUGCAGAUGAGCGAAGACGCAGCGAUGAAAGUGAGGAGGAUGACGAUGAGGGAGCACGGCAAGGACGACGAUGAGGGAAGACGUCGAGAUGAGGACGAUGAAGGCGAUGAAGGAAGACGCAGAAAAUCUCUCGUGUUUUCUUUGGCUUAUGAGUCUGUCCAAAAUUGGGGAUCCUCGUUAAGAACGGCUAAGGAGGUGUUUAAUCCGGGCGAAUCCCUGCUAAGCUCAUUAAAGCUAAUCCUAGUGCACACCAAACAAAUAACUACAGUCUAGUCCAGUCCAGUCUUUCUUAAUCAUGUCAAACAAAUGGGCCCUUAGGUUAUUAGCUUUGAUUUUCCCAAAUAUAGCUAAAAAGGAUGAUGUGUUGAAUUGCAUCUUAUAUCAACGAGAUGAAUCCAAUAUAUGUUGCUGUUUCAAUCUUUGUUUUAGAUUUUUUAAUUUGCAUUAAGAGACUUGUGUUUUCUUUUGUGGUUUUAUUUAAUUUCUAAAUUAUUUUGUUAGUUCCUAAAGAUUUUUUAAAUUUCAAAAAAUUAAUUUUUUCCAUAUGAUCCAUGUUGUGGAGCCAAAAAUAAUCACAAGGCGACACGUGGAUUUUUGGGUAAAAGAUGACAAAAAUAUCCUUGAGGCAUACCGGGAUUCCUACGCGCGAGGAGCGUACAAUCAUUUGUCAAUCAAGUCAAAAGUGUCCAAAAUAGGUAACCAAAUCAAAGAUAUUCUCAUCCAUCCUAAUCUUAGAUAAUUAUUUUAUAACCUACAUAACAUUACAUUUAAGUGGAGGUUAAUUGGCUAAUUAAUCCAUUAAUCACCAAUUAAAUCACCUUCAAAGCAACAAGCUCAGAAUCCAACCUCUUGAUCUCCUCGGCUAAGGAAUAAGCUUCAACUGCCAUAAUCUUCGCCACCUCCUUGACAACUUUGCUAUAUAUGCAUCAUAGCAAGCAGAGCAGUCCUUUUAUAGUGGGUCGUAUGUUUUGCAAAGGAACUUGGGCAAACAACCUUUCUACCGCUAUCAACAAACUUGGCACAAGCGUUCAUGACUUCAAGCAGAUAUAGUUUUAAAAGCAUACAGAUCUCAGCAGCCUCCCCAGAAGCAGGCUUAGUGGAUUUCUCACAACUGCCCACACGAGCAGUAUCUUCCUUCCUAGCAGGCGAAUCAGUCUCAGCAGCAAAGGGAGUGGGCCUUAGCGCCACUUUAGCAACAGAGUCCACCUUACCACUUUUCAUAAUAGCAAGUUUCUCUAAAGGUGAACCAGAGAUCAACCCAGCAUUCUAGCAGGCAGGAGGCCUGCAUGCCCAGCAUUCCAGCAAUCCAUGAGGCCCACGACCUCCUAAUUUCUUUCAGUCGCCAGCUUGGCCUGAGUAAGGUCUAAGAGCCCCAAGGACAUGAGCCAUGUGGCUCGCCUAGCACUGCGCCCCAACGCCACAAUCCGCAGCCCCAACCGCACAAGUUGCCUUUGGCUUUAGCCAAGCCAAACAGGCCAAGCAGUGACCCUUGCCACGAAGCCUCCUCAUCCCAUGCCGAGCCGACUCCUGGCCCCUGCCAGCCGACAUGCUGCACCACCCCGACGGCUGCCCCGCAAUAGCACUAUCCAAGAAGAAGACAAGAAAAAAUUAAAUUUUUCUUACAUUGGUGCGGCACGGAGAAGACGAAGAAAUCAACGAAAGACGGUCAUUUGCAAGAUGUAGAAGAUUGCUAGAGGAGGGGGAACAAAUAUCAUCUAAGCUCUCUCUCUCUUGUAGGGUAGAAUAAAUCGCUCUCCAAAGUUGAUUUAAUAACCCACUUAAGGUGGACUUAAAUAGGCUUUGAGAGAAAUUUAUUUCCCUUUCCUAGAAUGACCUAAUUUCCUAUUAAAGAGAGAAUCUACAUCAAAAUAGGAAGCAAUCCUACAUUUCCUAAAGCAAGAUGAUCUCUACACCUGCUGCCCUUUCCUAUGAGGAGCCCAACAAGUGUGGGGGCAUUUGUGGAGCCAAAAAUAAUCACAAGGUGACACGUGGAUUUUUGGGUAAAAGAGGACAAAAAUACCCUUGAGGCAUACCGGGAUUCCUACGCGCGAGUAGCGGACAAUUAUCCGUCAAUCAAGUCAAAAGUGUCCAAAAUAGGUAAUCAAUUCAAAGAUAUUCUCAUCCAUCCUCAUCUUAGGUAAUUAUUUUAUAACCUACAUAACAUUACAUUUAAAUGGAGGUUAAUUGGCUAAUUAAUGGAUUAAUUCCUAAUUAAUCCAUUAAUCACCAAUUAAAUCACCCACAAAAUAUACCCAAAAAUCCCAAAGGGCCGGCCACCCUUGUUGAUCUCAUCAUAUUUACCUAUUUUAUCACAUUAAUUAGCUAGUUAAUUUGGCAAUAAUUUUAUUUGCUAAAUUAAUUAGUCAAUUAUUCUCAUAACUCCUAAAUUCAACCUAAAUCAAGAACCCUAUCCCUAUAAAUAGGCUCUUAUUCUCACCAAAAACCUAGGUCCUUACUCUUGCUAAAAUUCUCCAAAGCUCUCAAACACUUUUAUCUCAAAAUUCUAACUUUGGCAUCGGAGGUUCUUCGGUCAAAGCCCCACCCAUUCAUCGUGGGCGCUUGAGGCUCUUGGCCUUAACCUAAGGUGUUAUUUGUUUUGUAGGUGCAAUUUUGUCCAAGAUCAAGGAGGAAGAAAUUUGCAUCCACAAAUUGGUGCUUUCAUUGAGAGGUGAGAUCCAUACUCAUAGAAGACUCUCGCAUAAAAAGGUUUUUCUAUUUUCUAGUCCAUUUGAAUAUUUUUCAUACGUUCUUAUUAUUAGAAAUUUUUAUUUGCAAAGGUUCUUUGAUAAAAUGUAUAAGAAAAAUAUAAUGGCUAGAAAUUUAGAAAAUUCCACAAGUGAAAAUUCUAAUACUCAAGAAAUGGGUCCGCGGCGAUUUACGAGGCUAAAUGUGGUCAUAGGCGAAGUGGUACCACCACUACGAGGUUCCACCAUGGCCCAAGACGUGUCAUCCAAGCUUGCACGGGCCCGAGCCCAAGCCUGGCAUUCACAUGCAUCACGCACUGAGCAGCCUGUUCUCAUCGAGCAGCCCACUUCCGUGGCCCAACCUGCUCCUACCGAGCAACCUACUCUCACGGUCCAGCCUGCUCCCGACGAGCAGCCCACUCCCGUGGCCCAGCCUGUUCCAGCCGAGUAGCCUGCUUUCGUGGCCCAGCCUGCUCCCAACGAGUAGCCCACUUUCGUGGCCCAGCCUGUUCCCGCCGAGCAGCCCACUCUCGCGGCCCAGCCUGCUCUUGUGGCCCAGCCUGCUCCCACGACCCAAUCUGCUCCCGUGGCUUUCCAAGCAGCCCAAGUCGGCCCAAGACUAUCUCAACUAUCUGGACCUACCAUCAAGCUGGGAGCAUUUUCACCACAUUUCUUCGUGGAUUUGAUAUUUCCCAACUCAAAUCUCGCACCCAGAGCCUACCACACUUCCACUGCUCAAUGAGGCACAUUCCUUCCAAGUUCUUCCAAUCUAAAUGGCAAACAACACUUGUCUCAACAAGUCAUAGAGUUGACGAACGUCCUUGCACAAUAGAUAACCUUGGUGAAUCAACUCUUGCAACGCACCGAGAUCCAACGUGCCUCGGACAAGGUGUCCCGAAGUAGGACAAGGGCAAAUGAACCUUUCCAUUAGUGUCCCGGUAAGUAGCCUAUCAACUAGCCACGAUCUGAGCGUUCUGGCAGUUUACGUACCCGAUUGGGCCCCCGAGAUAGCGUAAACUCCCAUCUUAGAGCGCGAAGGAGCAUGCACUCUCGACUAAGCCCACAAACGAGUAUAUUCACAGUUGGGCUUACACUCCGAUAGUCAACAUAAGCAACCUUCCAAGCGAAGUGUUCAUUCGCGGCUAAGCUCUCAAGGAGCAUCAUCCACCUCACAUCGGAGUAGGCAGCACGACAGACGGAGAGAAACAGUCACUUAAUACGGCUCAAGUUCAACCGGCAGCCUGCGAAGAACUCGUUCGCCUGCUAGGAACGCGCUACACGCACCGCAUCUGGGGCAUAGACGAGCCAAAUAUAUGGAAGAGCAGCCUAGACCAGCAAGUCACGGUUGGGGGCAGCCGAGAGCUCCAUUACCUUAACAAAGGCAAAUUCAUGAAGAAGUAGAGAGACUCUUGACCAAGCGAUUGCGCACUUUCCAAGCGAUCUUGAAUAUGAAGUUCCCCACUACUCUGAAGGAGAUUCAAAGUCUGACUGGACGAGUAGUCACAUCUGAAGUAGCAAGAAGCUCUAUCAUCAUACGAGAAAAGCUCAGGGCCCGACUACCUGUAUUAUACAGUUCAAAAGCUCUCCUUGAUGUUAUUAAAAAUUCAAAAGCUAACUUUGACGAUAGUUGUUGUAACCCAGAAGCUCAAGUUUUACCUUUAAACGCAUGUAGUUAUCCUUAUGACGCAUUAUUUUGCCCAAUCCAGACACACGACGAUAAAGGCGUAAGAUCCUGGCGAAUGCAAAGUUUUCUAACGAACACAACAACUCGGCCUAAAAGACACGCCAAGGGCAAACGAACACUAGAAUGACACACUCGGAAGCAAGUUUUGUCCUCGUCGCCCCAAAAGAUUUUACAUAGGAGCAACAUGUACUUGCAGUCAAACACCACUUCCUACUACGUGUCACACGGUCCUAGCUGACCCUUGCUUUAUAAUUCAACUUUACAGUGGUCCAAUACCAGCAGUUAAGCAUCUUCUACUGCAUGUAACAUGGCCCCAGCUCCACGGCUUCCUACCACGCAUUUAUGACGCAAUAGAGCGGCCCAACGACGUCUCGGAAGUAGCCGAGCACAUUCUAUCAGCACCUGCUCCACCCGAUGGAGACUUCUGGCAUUUGCAUGUCGACAUCGCAUCCAACUACAAAGGUUCAGGAGCAGACGAUCAUUCUAGGUUUCAAAGCAUCUAACAACGAAGCAAAGUACGAAGCCCCACUAGCAGGCCUUCGAAUGACAAAAGACUUGGCGGUGAAAAAGCUUUCAAUCCAUUUCGAUUCCCAGCUAAUCACCAGCCAAACUACUAGGGGCAAAUGCAUGAUGAUCGUGGCAACUGACUACUUCACCAAAUAGGUAGAAGCAGAGCCCAUGACGACCACGAUUCAAACGGACAUAAAGCGAUUCAUAUGGAGGAACAUCAUUUGCUGAUUUGGCAUCCCUUAAUCCAUCAUCACCGACAAUGGCUCGCAAUUUGUGGGCAAAGAUUUGGUAAAGUUAUUUAAAAAAUAUGGCAUCAAACAGCACAUGUUUACGCCAAGAUAUUCUCAAGGCAAUAGGUGGGCCAAAGUAUCCACCAAGAUGAUCCUCGAUUGCCACAAAAAAUGCCCCACCAGUAAGAAAAGAAAAUGGUCAGACGAACUCUAUGGAUAUCUAUGUGCAUAUCGCACCACCAAAAGACGAGCAACCGAAAGAAGAUGGCCACAAGCUUAAAUCUGGCAUAGGAGAAAUGCGAGCAGACUAUCACCCGCAUCACAGCUUACCAGCAAUAGUUUCUUUCCAGCUACAACAAAAGGGCCAAGAUCCGGAAGUUGCAGCCCAGAGAUUUAGUCCUAAGAAAAGCCUUCAUCAUUGCCCACAGAGAAGGCUCCAAAAAGAUAGAUCUCAUCUGGAAAGGUUCAUACAUGAUCAGCAGAGUAGGUGGCAAGAGUAAUUACACCCUCGCCACCAUGAAACGAUAAAAAGAUCGAAAAGUAGUGGAGCGCCUACAAGCUGAAGAAGUAUCAUGUGUGACCUCCUACUACAUCAAAGCCCGAAGAUUCAAGAAUCUCAACGGGCACCACCUCACAAGCCGAGGACUAUCCAGUUGUUAUGCAGUUCCUACCUUACAACUAAGUUCUCGUUCGUUUCACUCGUUUUUCAAUGAGGAAUUCAGAAGUAAUCACAACUUGGCUCGGCUGCAUGCUUAGAACAACUGAUCACUCCUGCACUUCAAAAAAAGACUGCGCCCUUCUUAAGGACUCAUUGCAGGAAUUACAACCCCCGAGAGACCAACCAUGCUCUCCAGUGCGAUAAGGUAAACUAAUUGCUCUCCAGUGCGAGAGGGUAAACCAAUUCCCUGACACCUAUAUGGGUCAGCUCUCCAAGAUGAGAGGAUUAAACUCUACACUCCUAAUAUCCAAACGUGGAUGAACUUGGCUGCCCUAGUAUAACUAGAUGCACGAUAGCUUGCACUGGGAUUCCUAGAAGUAGCCACAAUGGUCUUUUUCAAGGUUUAGCUAAUUGAAGGAUUUUGGGUCUCUUGGCUUAAUCCGCUAAGACCCGGGCCCUAAAGACGGAGGGGGCACAUUACGCAGUACUCCCUGCAGACGGCUGCCCUGGAACCCUAAAGCUGCUACCAAGUGCACUAAGGUAGCCUAUGGAUUCCGGAAGACUGCCUACGGCUUGCCUUUCGAGCAGUAAAGUCACGCUAGACUUAUACAACCGCACAUUAUUGUGAUAGGUUAAACAAGCUAGCGCGCAUAUACGAAGUUUUAUCCAUUGCCGACAUGUUACGUAGUCGAUAAGCUUCACCUCUGCCAAGCGCAGAACAACCUACACCAAGUCCUAAAGUGUUGUGAUACUUGCUACGCAACCUACGAAAUUGGAAAAAGUCAAGGUUAACAGCCUAGUGGUUACGCGGACUUGUCUGCUUCUGUAAGUAAGGCAUCCGGCUGCUAACCCUAUGGCUAACAACUUUGCAAAGUUCUACACCAACACCUAUGGCUGCAUAGGCUACGCGAGCUUGUCUGCUUAUAAAAAAGUAGCAUGCCUACCACUGGUCUAUCAAGUCUAAAGGCUAGGGCAUGAACAAAAUAAGCGAAGAUAAAGAAAAACGAAGGAAAUCAUGUUUAUAAACAACUAGCAAAGGCCAAAGGAGUUCAAGCAAAACAUGAGCUACAGGGAAAAACAAAGAAAAUCCUAAAGGCUACUUAGAAUACUACACUACAGCAGCUUGGACAUCCCACAACUACUCGGUCGCCACACCUUCAGUAGCCAUAAUGCUCUUAGCAACGGCAUCAUCUGGCGUUUCACCCCUGGUUGCCCCCGCCUGGGCACUAACUUCUCCAACUACUUCACCAAUGGAAGCCGUAAAAGCAAGCAAGUCUUCUGGAGAAAUAGAAAAGGUCUCGAAACCUCAAGCCCAUCAUUUUCACCCUUCAGCUGCUCAUUCUUCUCAAGCAGACUAACACGGAUGCGCUGCAGCUCAUCCACUCCCUUCUUAGCAUAAGCAGCAAUUAACUCUUCAUCCUUUGCAUAAGCAGCGAAAUGAAGCUCAUAAACUGCAAAGUCAAGAUCUUUAAUCUGAGGUAUGUAACAUUCAAUCUCAUUCUCUGCACUUUCAUACUUAACUUGGAUCGCGUCAAGCUUAGUCUUCAAGUUAAUGAUCUUGUGGCGAGCGGUCUCAAGCUGCAGAGAAGUGGGGACAGAAAUAUUAGACCCCUUCAAAGCAACAAGCUCAGAAUCCAACUUCUUGAUCUCUUCGGCUAAGGAAUAAGCUUCAACUGCCAUAAUCUUCGCCACCUCCUUGACAGCUUUGCUAUAUAUACAUCAUAGCAAGCAGAGCAGUCCUUCUAUAGUGGGUUGUAUGUUUUGCAAAGGAAUUUGGGCAAACAACAUUUCUACCGCUAUCAACAAACUUGGCACAAGCGUCCAUGACUUCAAGCAGAUAUAAUUUUAAAAGCACACAUAUCUCAGCAGCCUCCCCAGAAGCAGGCUUAGUGGAUUUCUCACAGCUGCCCACACGAGCAGUAUCUUCCUUCCUAGCAGGCGAAUCAGUCUCAGCAGCAAAGGGAGUGGGCCUUGGCGCCACUUUAGCAAUAAAGUCCACCUUACCACUUUUCAUAAUAGCAAGUUUCACUAAAGGUGAACCAGAGAUCAAGCCAGCAUUCUAGCAGGCAGGAGGCUUGCAUGCCCAGCAUUCCAGCAACCCAUGAGGCCCACGACCUCCUAAUUUCUUUCAGUCGCCAGCUUGGCCUGAGUAAGGUCUAAGAGCCCCAAUGACAUGAGCCACGUGGCUCGCCUAGCACUGCGCCCCAACGCCACAAUCCGCGGCCCCAACCGCACAAGUUGCCUUUGGCUUUAGCCAAGCCAAACAGGCUAAGCAGUGGCCCUUGCCACGAAGCCUCCUCAGCCAUGCCGAGCCGACUCCUGGCCCCUGCCAGCCGACAUGCUGCACCACCCCGACGGCUGCCCCGCAAUAGCACUAUCCAAGAAGAAGACAAGAAAAAAUUAAAUUUUUCUUACAUUGGUGCGGCACGGAGAAGAUGAAGAAAUCAACGAAAGACGGUCAUUUGCAAGAUGUAGAAGAUUGCUAGAGGAGGGGGAACAAAUAUCCUCUAAGCUCUCUCUCUCUUGUAGGGUAGAAUAAAUCGCUCUCCAAAGUUGAUUUAAUAACCCACUUAAGGUUGACUUAAAUAGGCUUUGAGAGAAAUUUAUUUCCCUUUCCUAGAAUGACCUAAUUUCCUAUUAAAGAGAGAAUCUACAUCAAAAUAGGAAGCAAUCCUACAUUUCCUAAAGCAAGAUGAUCUCUACACCUGCUGCCCUUUCCUACGAGGAGCCCAACAAGUGUGGGGGCAUUUGUGGAGCCAAAAAUAAUCACAAGGUGACACGUGGAUUUUUGGGUAAAAGAGGACAAAAAUACCCUUGAGGCAUACCGGGAUUCCUACGCGCGAGCAGCGGACAAUCAUCCGUCAAUCAAGUCAAAAGUGUCCAAAAUAGGUAAUCAAUUCAAAGAUAUUAUCAUCCAUCCUCAUCUUAGGUAAUUAUUUUAUAACCUACAUAACAUUACAUUUAAGUGGAGGUUAAUUGGCUAAUUAAUGGAUUAAUUCCUAAUUAAUCCAUUAAUCACCAAUUAAAUCACCCACAAAAUAUACCCAAAAUCCCAAAGGGCCGGCCACCCUUGUUGAUCUCAUCAUAUUUACCUAUUUUAUCACAUUAAUUAGCUAGUUAAUUUGGCAAUAAUUUUAUUUGCUAAAUUAAUUAGUCAAUUAUUCUCAUAACUCCUAAAUUCAACCUAAAUCAAGAACCGACAUGAUUCUCUGCAGUUCACGGUGGUGAGAUGAAAAAAUGAAAGAGAACCGACAUGAUUUUUUGUGUCGUUUCCCACAGACGGCGCCAAAUGUUGAUGCACAAAACCGGAUGGUCUUGGUACAACGUAAAUCCGACCGUGAAUCUGCAUGAAAUGUAAAUGACACAAGAGUUAUCGUGGUUCACCCCAAGGUUUGGGCUACGUCCACACUGAUUGUGUAUUUAUUUGAGGGAAUAGAGAGGGAGAGGGUGAGAGCUUCUGAGAGCUUCUGAGGGUGAGAGAGGGGAUCUCAGGCCUAGGAAUUGGCCUCUCAGAGUGAGAGUGAUGCCUCCCUAGAAUGAGGGGAGGAGUCCCCUUUUAUAGAAUAAGGGGCUCCUCCUCCUUUACAAAGUAUGGGCUUUAGUGUGAGGCCCAAAUACAAGGCCCAAGGCCCAAAUAUACGAGGCCCUAAAUAUGGUAUAAACAGUAGUCCCCCAAGUCUUCAGUCAAGAGAGUCUUUUGGCUGGAGACUUGAAAUUCAGUCCAUGUGUGGGCCGAAGUAACUAGAUGCUGUCUUGAACUGAUGCUCGAUAUGAGGCGGUGCCCAAUCUGAAAUGACGCUCAACUAGAAGUAGCACACGCUGUGAGACUGCUCGGCUCGUGGCUUAUGUUGCCUUGGCUAGCUCGGUUUGCGGCGUUGAAGGUGAGGGAGUCCCUUUUAUAGAAUAAGGGCUCGUUCCUCAAUACAUAAAUGAUGGGCUAGAGUUGAUGCUCGCGGCGAGGCGGUUGCUCAGCUGGCGGCGUUUCUCUCUAAUGAAGGUGAGGGAGUCCCUUUUAUAAAAUAAGGGUUUACUCCUCAGUACAUGAAUAAUGGGUGCUCUCUAAUGAAAGUGAGGGAUUCCCUUUUAUAGAAUAAGGGCUCACUCCUUAAUACAUAAGUGAUGGGCUAGAGUCCCCCAAGUAUUUUUCAUGAGUGCUCUCUAAAAGUGAAGGAGUCCCUUUUAUAGAAUAAGGGCUCGCUCCUCAAUACAUAAGUGAUGGGCUAGAGUCUCCCAAGUAUUUUUUAUGAGGCCCAGUUGAGGCCCAAUAUAUGGUACAUAAUGUAGUCCCCCAAGUCUUCGGUCAAUAGAGUCUGUUGGCUGGAGACUUCAAAUUGAAUCCAUGUAUGGGCCGAAGUGGCGGUUGGUCGAAUGCGGUAUUUGUAUACCCUGCACUGAAGCUUUGUAGGUGAAGCUUUGUAGGUGAAGCUUUGCAAGUGAAGCUUUGAAGCUAGAGCUCUGUAAAUGAAGCUUUUGAAGCUAGAGCUUUGUAAAUGAAGCUUUUGAAUCUAGAGCUCUGUAAAUGAAGUCUUUGAAGCUAGAGCUCUUGUAAAUGAAGCUUUUGAAGCUAGAGCUCUGUAAAUGAAGUCUUUGAAGCUAGAGCUCUGUAAAUGAAGCUUUUGAAGUUGAUUGAUAUGAGUGAUGCUCAUGAAUGUUUAUGUUGAUUGACAUGAGUGAUGCUCAUGAAUGUUGUUAUGAGUGAUGCUCAUGAAUGUUAACAUGAGUGAUGCUCAUGAAUGUUGACAUGAAUGAUGGUCAUGAAUGUUUAUGUAUGAUUGUCAUGAGUGAUGCUCAUGAAUGUUUAUGUAUGAAUGACAUGAGUAGUGCUCAUGUAUGAUUUGGAGUACUAGGCGUACUUUUGAUCACCUGGUUGGUGUUAUUUUGGGCUUGUCGUUGUUCUUCCUUUUUUUUUUUUUUUUUUUUUUUUUUUUUUUUUUUUUACCCUCUGAUGGGGUUUAUACAUAUGUCUCCGAAAGAUAAUAAAUUACAUCAUUCUGGUAGAAUGUUUAUUCCUUACUUUUGUUUUUCUCUUUCUUUUCUACUUUUCUUUUGUAAUUAUCUCAGUGGGUAGCCAUAUUUUCUGCUUUGCUCUUUUACUUUGCUUUGCUUUUGCUUUCCACUUUUUUUUUUUUUUUUUUUUUUUUUUUUUUUUUUUUUUUUUGACCCUCUGAUGGGGGUUUAUACAUAUUACCCUUUGAUGGGGUUUAUACAUAUGUCUCCGAAAGAUAAAUUACAUCAUUCAAAAAUAAAGGUUUCGACAGUUGCGUUUGUGCGUACUAGGCCUCUCUUUCUGUCUCUGUCAUGCAUGUGCACCCAAUUUAAUCAUUAAUAUCUUCUUUACCGAUUAUCCCUUACCACUUGCGGUCCUACUCAUUCAAAUCAUAAUCUCUCAGAUUUUAUUCUCUUUUCUGCUUUGCUCUUUUUUCUUUUGCUUUUGUUUUCUGCGUCUCUUUCAUUGUUUCUCCACCUCCACUCUCUCUGGCAGACUUGCUUUUGCUUUUGCUGACUUGCUUUACAGCAAACACAUUUAGCUUUUCCAUGUGGGUGGUCGAAAAAAAAACCAACCAGAUUCAUCAUUUCCGAUGGCAUCACCGACAGAAACGGUUCGAGCGUUUGCAAAAACCUGAUCUGGACAUCUGAGAAGCAGGGAUAUUUCGAGAUCUGAAUCUCAAAGAUUGACCAAAACCUUCAAACCUUAACAGCAGUUGAGCUACGCAGCCAUUGUUAUGAAAACAAAUUCAGAUCUUGCAACAACUGCGGCUUAGAGACUGACUAAUGGAGCAGCUUCCAUGGAAGAAAUGGGGGAGAUUACCCAAACAGCGUGGUUUGGCGUCGGAAUAGCUCGACUUCGAGAACGUAAAAGCUUCCUGCGAUCUGCGUGAAACGGGUCAUCCUCUAGAGUUCAAAAAAGCUCCGUGAAGGAUGAGUGAAACUCGGGUAGGACAGAGUCGCGACUCGACUUGAGGAGGUAGAGAACGACCCGCUUCAGCUUGUCGUGCUUCGGUUCUAACGGGUCGAGGUAGGAGAGGAUGCGGUAGCCGCCGGUACCGAAAUCUUCUCUGUUCUCCUUCUUCUUCACUGCCUCCGAAACCCAAACCUUCUCUUCCAGCACUACUCUUCCAUACGAAUCCGAAAUCUUUGGUAGCACAUUCGCAUCGUAAUCGUACUCGCUCAGAAUCACGCCGUUGUACGCCGCGUAAUCGGAUUGUAUUUGUGUGGAGAUCUUCUCCAUCGUCAUAGGAGGGACCAUCACCAGCUCCGGCUCCAUUUUCGGAUGAGAAUCUUCGGGUGUUGGGUGGAGCUUGGAGGAGGCGACGAUGCUGAUGAUGAUACAAUUAAUGAGUAUGUAGAGAUACGGCGGUCUGAGCCAGGAGAUGGCGGAGCUCUAGAGAGAAGGAACUUGGGAGGUGACGGUGUCGGCGACCAAUGGAGAUGAGAGUUUCAGCCCAACGGCCAUGGAGACCACGCCAGUGGAGAUCAGCGCAACCUUAAGAGUGAGUAACCAGUUGUUGCUCGCGCUCGUCGACAUAUUUAUCAGAAUGUUGCGAAUUGAUCAGAAUCUUUACCUUUUCCGGCUAGAGUUUUGUUUGGCUCCCUGUCUCUGUCUAUUCUUCCUCUUCUUGCCAACCUUGUCCAGGCCCAUAAACAGCAGCCAUAUGCUUCCCCUUGACCCAGCCCGAUCUCUCUCUCCAUUGCCCAACUUGUAUUGUUUUGAUUCUCUGCAGUUCACGGUGGUGAGAUGAAAAAAUGAAAGAGAACCGACAUGAUUUUUUGUGUCGUUUCCCACAGACGGCGCCAAAUGUUGAUGCACAAAACCGGAUGGUCUUGGUACAACGUAAAUCCGACCGUGAAUCUGCAUGAAAUGUAAAUGACACAAGAGUUAUCGUGGUUCACCCCAAGGUUUGGGCUACGUCCACACUGAUUGUGUAUUUAUUUGAGGGAAUAGAGAGGGAGAGGGUGAGAGCUUCUGAGAGCUUCUGAGGGUGAGAGAGGGGAUCUCAGGCCUAGGAAUUGGCCUCUCAGAGUGAGAGUGAUGCCUCCCUAGAAUGAGGGGAUGAGUCCCCUUUUAUAGAAUAAGGGGCUCCUCCUCCUUUACAAAGUAUGGGCUUUAGUGUGAGGCCCAAAUACAAGGCCCAAGGCCCAAAUAUACGAGGCCCUAAAUAUGGUAUAAACAGUGCUCCCCUAAGUUCCCGAGUGAGGGAAACUCCUCGGUUGGGGACUUGCAAGAUCCAAUCCCUUGAGUAAUCACGAAACUUCUAAGUACCGAAGUGUGGUCUGAUCUUCAUCUGCCCUUCUCUGGAAGUACCUUUCCUCCAUCCGGGAAUGGUGUACUUAGCUGAUGUUGACGCACAAGGUAAUGUAUCAAUUUCACUUGAAGCUUAGUUGUAGUUUCGGGCUUAGUCAAGUGUGAUACAAACCCUAUAGUAGGAGUCCCCCAAGUCGCCGAGCUAGGAGAUCUGCCGAAAGAGGUGACAGACAAGGUAAGCAGUCAAACUUCCAAGUAAGCAACCCAGGAUCAGAGGUUUGACGUCGGCUUCCGGUUGAUUGUUCUCAUUCUCCUUGUCUCUCAUUCAACUGCCAGGAUAAGGAGAAGCAAAUGGAUAAGAGAUGAUAUGAGAUACUUUUGCUUUUGAAGAAGUAACUUUCCACAGGCUUAUUCUUGAACUGUGCUGGAGGGUUUUCUGGUGCCCUUCAGAGUAUAAGGCCGACUCAAAAAUUUGAGGGUCAAAACAAGUCCAUCAAAUCUAGAGUACGUUCGACCUUGAUGAUAUGGGAUACUUUUGCUGUUGACGGAAUAAUGAAUGUGGUAUGGAAAGGUGUCGUGCUGUAGUGAUCUGUUUCAGCUCACCGUUGAACCUUCUGCUUCAAUCUUUUGCAUGGCAGAAGUGGUGUGCAACCUUUGCAUUUAAAUGGUCCUUCAGAACAUUCCUUCAUAGUGACUCAUCCACGCUUGGCAGCUUCAGUGUAAAGAGCCAAUAUCUGAUCAACUGUCAUGAGGUAUUUGCCGGUGGAAUUCGUGACCUUGACAGCAGUUGAGGAUGAGUACUCGAGAGCAAUGCUAAGUAAGCAACCAGGCAAAGGCUCCAGGCAGUCAGUUCCAAAUUGGAGGUUUGAUUUCAGGUUCCGACUGACUGCUCUCUUUUUCUCCUUGUCCUGCAGGUGUGGACAAGGACAAAGACAAAGACAGGGAGAAAGCAUGAUAUGGGAUACUCUUGCUUUCGACCCUGAUGAUAUGAGAUACUCUUGUUCUUGGUGUGGCUUAUUUGCUGAGGUAUUAUCGGGGGGAAAUAAAGCUGAGUAUUUCGAGAGGUUAUGUUGAGGGUGCCUUUUCGAAUGUGAGAAAGGGUUGAGCAUUUUUGCAGGUUUGCCUGUCCGUUGAGGAGGGAGGUCAAUGUAUAUAGGGAUUUCCCAAUAACAAGUAGUAAUGCUAUUCCUUUACCCUUCUUGGUCACAGCAAUGUAGUGGGAGCUGCCAGCUUCACGUGUUUUAAUUUUGUCAGAGCACUUUGAAAAAGUGGUAUGUGGUAUCUGGAAAGCUGAUAUUACGUGUGGAGAUUACAGACAAGCUUUAUCUAAGGAAAUCUGGCUCUCGAAGUUCUGAGAGUUGUGCCUCUUCGGUUUUCGAACAAGCAAUCCCGUCGAGGAUCUGACUCUCGAGAUUCGGAAAGCGGUGCUACUCCGGUUUUUGAGAAAGUAAUUAUGUUGGGAGUCUUUUCUCGAAUGUGAGUAAAGGUUGGUCGUUCUUGCCAACCUGUCUUGCCACAAAACACGGAGGUCGACACACAUAGGGACUUUCCAGUUGUCAAGCAGUGGUGCUGUUCCUUUACCCUUAUGGGUAAUAGUAGGGUAGCUGGCACUUCGAAAUUCUCGUGCCUAAACUUUGUCAGAGAUCUUUGACAAAGUUAUAUGUGGUACCCGAGGAGUUGAUGGUGCAUAUGGAGAGCGGUGAUUGAUCAGUAAGAUUCACGUGCUUUCUGCUUCACCAGAAAUCUUCGACAGAUUGCCCGUAAUUUCCGCAAAGCUAAUUGUGCAUGUGACAGGUGCUGACAAGGCUGCAAAAGCAGGUGCUUCUUCGAUUUCUGAGAUCGGCCCUCGUGGUCUCUGAGCAGCCCAGCUUUUGAGAAAGCAAACGCCUCUUCGAUUUCUGAAGCUCCGUCGAGUGCAGAUUUUUAUAGAGGCUGGCAUUAAGUUCCACAGCACACUUGAAUCUCUACCAGUAGAAGCUCAUUUCUUGCACUUCUAAGAUCUUGAUUUGUCUGACCUCUUCCUUCUUCAACACAUUUGAAAAUGUCUGGACCCUCCGACCGUCGUUUUGACUUGAACCUUGGAGAAGAGACAGCCACGCCUUCUCCAAACAACAUAUGGCGCCCAUCCUUCAUAUCCCCUACUGGUCCUCUUACCGUUGGGGAUUCUGUGAUGAAGAAUGAUAUGACCGCUGCAGUGGUGGCCAGGAACCUUCUCACUCCCAAAGAUAACAGACUACUUUCCAAACGGUCUGAUGAGUUGGCUGUUAAGGACUCUCUGGCUCUUAGUGUUCAGUGUGCAGGUUCUGUGUCUAAUAUGGCCCAACGCCUAUUUGCUAGAACCCGCCAAGUUGAAUCAUUGGCUGCUGAAGUGAUGAGUCUCAAACAGGAGAUUAGAGGGCUCAAGCAUGAGAAUAAGCAGUUGCACCGGCUCGCCCAUGACUAUGCUACAAACAUGAAGAGGAAGCUUGACCAGAUGAAGGAAUCUGAUGGUAAGGUUUUACUUGAUCAUCAGCAGUUUGUGGGUUUGUUCCAAAGGCAUUUAUUGCCUUCGUCCUCUGGGGCUGUACCUGGUAAUGAAGCUUCAAAUGAUGAACCUCCAAUGCCUCCUCCUUCUGGGGUUUUGUCAAGUACUGAGGCUCCGGAUAACCACCCUCCGGUGCUUUCUCUUUCUGGGGCUCUACCGACUGCUGAGACUUCCCCUAAGCAACCUUUGUGAAGGCUCCCUUUUGUUUGUUUAUUUUGACUCAUGUAUAUGUACAUAUUUGUGGCUUAUCGAAAAUAUUAAUAAAUAAGCUUUGCUUCAUUUCAACAUAUUGUGUUAAAUACACCAAAGCCUUCUUCAUAAAGUUCUUUGAAUUUUUUGCUUUUGUUGAAACCUGUAUUGUUGAAGCUUUGUGAGUGGAGCAUGUAGUUUGAGGUAGUGUUCCCUUAAUUUCCCGAGUGAGGAAAACUUCUCGGUUGGAGACUUGAAAAAUCCAAGUCACUGAGUGGUUGUGAGACUGCCGAGUAUCAAGGUGCAGUAGCAUAUGGUGGGAGUCCCCCAAGUCUUCAGGCGAAGAGAGUUGCCGAAUGAGGUGUCUAGCUAGUAGUCAAUGUCAUGAGUAGGAAAACUUCACUUGUUUCUUUUCGAAGUGGUAACCCAGGGCUCUUUCUUCAUAUAUUGUUUUUUGUUAUGAAGAUGUGUUAGGCCCAAAGAAGUGGAGGCCUAGGAACUUUUUUUUUUUUUAUUUAUUUUUUUUUUUUACUCCCUCCCUUUUUCUUGUGUCAUUUACAUGGGUGUAUUCGAAUGGAGCUGAAUGAGGGGUAGGGUAUGACUCAUUAUCAUGUGCCAUGAUUUUGUCUUCCUUUAGCUUCUCUUUUGCUUUGCUUUAGUCUUCCUUUAGCUUUUCUUCAAUAUAACACCAUUUUCUGUGGCUCAGAUCGCAAAACCAUCUUCAUGAAAGUUGUUCCUUAACUUGUGAACUACAACAUAUCCAAAUUUGAGGUCCCUCGGAGCAGUAUAACUCCAGAAAUCCAGGUAUGAUGAGUGACUGUUUAUCAUUUGUCUGUCAACCCGUCAGAUUUGUUGUGAGUUUUGAAACUCUAUUUUCUCUUGCUCAAAUAAGCAUGCUUUCUUCAUUGAAGUUGUUCCUCAGCUUGGGAACUACAACAUAUCCAAAUUUGAGAUCCCUCGGAGCUGUAUAACUCAAGAAAUUCAGGUAUGAUGAAUGACUGGUUAUUAUUUUUCUGUCAACCCGUCAGAUUUGUUGUGAGCUUUGAAACUCUAUUUUCUCUUGCUCAGAUCAGCAUGCUUUCUUCAUUGAAGUUGUUCCUCAGCUUGUGAACUUCAACAUAUCCAAAUUUGAGAUCCCUCGGAGAAGUAUAACUCCAGAAAUCCAGGUAUGAUGAAUGACUGGUUAUUAUUUUUCUGUCAACCCGUCAGAUUUGUUGUGAGCUUUGAAACUCUAUUUUCUAUUGUUCAGAUCAGCAUGCUUUCUUCAUUGAAGUUGUUCCUCAUCGUCUCUUUCAUAACAUAUCAAAAAUUCAGAAUGAACUAAUGGUUAAAUAUUUCCAGAUCUUCGAAACAUCACAGCAGCUUCGAAAUCUGCAAGAAUCCGACUGUCAUGCUUGGAGCUUCAACACUUUAAUUUCCGUGGCUCAAACAGAAAUGGUUCCUUCUUGAAAGUUGUUCAUCUGCUCAAGAACUAGAGGGUGUCCAAAAUUCAGCUCCAUUGGAGAGAAGCAGCAGCUGCAAAAAUUUGAUAGAGAAAAGGAGGCGAAGCUUUGUUGGAUUUCUAGGCUGGGGAAGAUUCCAGUUUUUGUAGCAACUUCAGUACUGGUGAAUUGCUUGUAUUUUUGUCCAUAACUAAAUUUUGGACUUUGAAUUAUUAUUUGAUCUAUCAUAAUAUGUUUGGGAACAUAUAUAAGUGAAUAAAUAAGAAGGAAGAUUUUGGGCCCUUGUGGGUGUAAAACAAAAAAAUGUUUAGGUUGUGUGAACAAAAUUUGUUUAUUUGGAGCAAGGUUUUGUGUUGAAGCUUUGUAGGUGAAGCUUUGGUGUUGAAGCUUUCUAGGUGAAGCUUUGAUGGUGAAGCUUUGUAGAUGAAGCUUUGUAGAUGAAGCUUUUUUAGGUGAAGCUUUGUAGGUGAAGCUUUGAUGGUGAAGCUUUGUAGAUGAAGCUUUGUAGGUGAAGCUUUUUUAGGUGAAGCUUUGUAGGUGAAGCUUUGAUGGUGAAGCUUUGUAGAUGAAGCUUUGUAGAUGAAGCUUUCUAGGUGAAGCUUUUUUAGGUGAAGCUUUGUAGGUGAAGCUUUUUUAAGUGAAGCUUUGGGCCCUUGUGAAGCUUUGGAGGUGAAGCUUUUCGGGUGAAGCUUUUUUUGGGUGAAGCUUUUUUGGGUGAAGCUUUUGAGGUGAAGCUUUGUGGGUGAAGCUUUGGAGGUGAAGCUUUUCGGGUUUUUUUGGGUGAAGCUUUGAAGCUUUUGGGUGAAGCUUUUCUUUGUGGGUGAAACUUUGGAGGUGAAGCUUUUCGGGUGAAGCAAGGCCCAAGGCCCAAAUAUACGAGGCCCUAAAUAUGGUAUAAACACAACCUAAAUCAAGAACUCUAUCCCUAUAAAUAGGCUCCCAUUCUCACCAAAAACCUAGGUCCUCACUCUUGCUAAAAUUCUCCAAAGCUCUCAAACACUUUUAUCUCAAAAUUCUAACUUUGGCAUCGAAGGUUCUUCGGCCAAAGCCCCCCCCAUUCAUCGUGGGUGCGUGAGGCUCUUAGCCUUGACCUAAUGUGUUAUUUGUUUUGUAGGUGCAAUUUUGUCCAAGAUCAAGGAGGAAGAAAUUUGCAUCCACACACGUAGUGCCUAAUCAUUGGCUGUGCGGACUCCAUCUUUGCUACAUCAUUAAAUUAAUAGAAAAUUUGAUAUAAUCAAACGACAAGGACCACAUUGAUAUGCGGUGGUAAAUUUUAGGAACGACAUUGACUAAUUUUCAAAUUAAAUAAUCAAAAUGAUGAGUUAGGUCAAUUUCAAAGUAGAUAUAUACAACAUUGCUCCUAUGACCACAUCCUUACAUGGUGAUCAUGCUAAUAGAGCAGUGUCAUUUUGUCACACGUAUGCGUUUAUGUGAAAUUGAAUCACACAUUUUAUAUAAAGAUCAACAAAAGUUAGAUUUGCAGUAGGAUGGACUUCAUAUUAGGCUUGGCAAAUGAGUCGUGUUUAUAUCAUUUUCGUGUCAUAUACCCGUUAUCUUAAUGGGUUGUGUGAAACCUGUUAUCUUAACAGGUGACCCAUUAACAACCUCUUUCCUUAACAGAUCAUGUAUAUUUCGUGUCGGAUUAACGGAUCAUGCUAUAAAUUGUCAUGCUUAAUGUCUAAAUCUGGCAAACAAUAUCUUAUCUGAUUCUUAACAGGUGAUCCGAUAAACGAUCCGACCAGUUAACGAGUUCUUAAUGGGUUACUCGGUAACUACCCGACUCAUUAUCGGGUUGACCAGAAACUACUUAUUUUCAUAUUAUUUCUUGUCAGGUUAACGGAUCGUGUAAGAAAGUGUCUAACAUGCUCCAUAUAAUGGAUGUUUAAGAUAAACACUUUUUAUAUAAGUUUUUGUUAUAAUUUUCUUAUACAAUAAUGUUAUAUUAUCUUAAAUAUCUUCGCAAUGGCGUACAGUACCAGAAAUUUUUUAUUAUGAUCGGAAUACGGAUGAUACACUACGUGUUUUUAUAUAAGUGGUGAAAAAUUGUAUUUUUUAAGUCAUUAAAUUUUUAAUACACAUAUUUCACUAUAUGUAUAGUAACACGUAAUGUACUAUCUUAUAUUUCAAUCAUACUAAAAAAUCUCUCAGUAACCGUUUGUCAGUCUCCCAGUCUAAUCAAGAAUUCGUGAAUCACGAGGCCAACAAGUCUUCAUCCUACUUUAUAUAAGGACAUUGACCGGCACUUUUUUAAAUGCCUUUAGUCCCUCACCCACCCUCAAAACCUCACCACUUUCAUUUUUAUUUUGAAUAAUAAGAAGGUUAAAUUUAGAAAUAAAAUUUACAAAUUAAAUAAUAUGUCAUCAAUAAAAAUAAGAUAAACGAAUCAUCAAUUUUUAUAUCCUUUAGUUUUCAAAAUUUUAUCUCCUUAACAUUACACUUUUACUUUUGUUACAAAAUCUCACAACUUUAAAACCAUCCCAAAAGUUACAACAAAAAUCCAAUAAGAAACCGCAAAAUAUUGGUUUAAUAAAGAUUUGGAUUCUCCAUUCAAGUUCUAACUUUUACAAAUGUAUUUUUUUUAGUCAAUAGCUCUGAUUUGGGUUAAUAAAUACCAAAAAAUAUGAUUCCGCUUUAUAGAUGCUAAAGUCUCAUGAUGAAAUAAAUCAACAUGUUAUCAAUGUGAGGUGGAAUAUUUUCUAAAUUAAAAAAGAAAAAUGUUUACAUUCCUUCUAUAAGCGGACAUUCCUUCUAUAAGCGCAUGAGCUCAUUCUCCCACUUACUUAUAACUUAUAACGUAUAUUCAUCAUAAAAGUUUCAUAACUAAACCUUUCAAUCUUCUAAUAUUCAUUUGAAGAUUAUCCAUAUAAAAAGUCAUUUGAAUCAGAUACCGUUUAGUCAUCUAAAUGUAUGAAAAAAAAAUCAACGAUUCAUUAUGAAUAUGCUACUUGUUAUCAACACCGUUGAUUUAUUGAUACAUUUGGAUGACUAAACGAUAUCUAAUUCGAAUGAUUUUUAUAAAGAUGAUUUUCAAAUGAAAAUUAAGAGACUAAAUGGUUACGAUUAUGAAACUUCUACGAUUAAGAUAUGUUAUUUGCAAGUAGAGAAAUAAGUUCAUUCCCAUAAACAGAAUGAAGUAUUCGGUGUUCUAAGAAGCAGCGUAGCCAGCCCCUAGGCGAUAGGCCGUAAGUUGCCGCUGCGACAAUCCCUAAUCGGUCUGAAAAUUGGAAAGCUUGUUAAGCGGCUCCUUGAUUUUAAUCCCUAAUCCCUGAUUUUUUUUAUUUUUUUAUUUAUUAUUUAUUUUAUGCAAACCGACAGCGCAUUCGAAGAAGAGGAUGGCUUGUCUACAUGUUGUCGUUUUGCCAAAAGUUGCCUGUUUCGGUUUUUAUUCAAACUUUUUGUUAUCACUUUUCGUUUUCUUUUAUUUUAAUCAGCGAGUGACUUUUCACUUUUAUUAUUAUUAUUGUCUAUUUGUAAGACACUACUGUCUCUCACCAAUAAUAUCUGCACUUUUUUAUUUUGUCUUGGCUAUGUCUAUCCUAUAUAUUAAUAAUAGCACACCUUUUAUCAAUUUUUUUAAGAGUUUUAACAAAAAAAAAUUCCGAUACUGUUCAUUUUUAACGAAAAACUACAUUUAUAUAUUUUCCUGAUACCAUUCACUAUACCUUUAAAAAUGACUUUUCAUUAAAAGUGAAGGUUUUUUGGACUUUUCAUUAUUUUAUUUUUUUUGUUUUUGAACAAAGACCCUUUAUCAAUUAAAAGCUAAGGAGAAUAUAAGUGUAAAUAGUUACUUAUUUAUAUGAUACAUAAUAAAUUUGCUUAAUAUGUUUAGUCUGCCAAGUCGCCUAAACGUUAGGUCUUACUUCGCCACUCGACUAGAGCUUAGUGCCUUUUAGAACCAUGCAAUUGUUAUACUUAAAAAAAAUCUCUCGAUUCAAGGGAAAAGAGAUUAGUUUGGCUCAUCAAUGAACAAGGAGUUUCUCUUUAAUUCACCUUGUGGCCAAUUUAUGGGAUUUUAUGCUCUUAUGAGCAGAACCAUUCAUGUUAUAAAACAUUUUGUAAAGGCCAUCUCUUAAAAAAAAUCAAUAAACUAUGAGAUCGUUUAGUCAUCACACUGUAUAAAAACAUAUGAAAGAAUCUAGUAAAAGAAUUACAAAACCAUCUAUCCAUUAGCUACAAUAAUUGACUAGACGACUUUAUUUUCUAUUGAUCUUUUUUUUUUCUUUUUUUGGUUGACAACGGGGCUUAAUGCCGAAAGAAUAUGAAGAUUAGAUAAGAAUAUAACGAGGUCACGAGACCCAAACUAUAUUUGCAAUUAGUAACAGAUGACAAGGAGGUGCUUGCUCAAAAAAUACUGAACUCAAACUACAUGACAAACACAAACGAGCCAAAUCAUCAGCAACAAAAUUCUUUUCACGAUAGAUAUAACGAACUUCUAUUGAUCUUUUAAUUUUUGCAAAGUUAUUUAUAAUACGAACAAUUUCAAUAAACUAAAGGUAAUCGAUCACAAAGUAUCUUUAAAAAUAAAAUAAAAAAAAACCUCCUCAAUCUAUUUAAGGAGCCAACCUCGCUCAAGAGAAAAUCCAAAAUCCAAACUCCAAUAACAAAAAGCAAAAGCUUCUUCCCUUGUUCCGCCUUGCCCUUCCCUCUCCUUUCCUUCCAUCUUCUCAAGAAACAAACAGAAACCACUACAAGCAACAACAUUAGCAAGAAAAUAAAGAAAUACAUAAACCCAAUAAGCACCAUUACAAUCUCGAAGUACGACAUACAACCUCUCUCUCUCUCUGUCUCAAGAUUUCAGCUUCAGAAUUUGACAUCUGAAAGUGAAAAGUUAAUCUUUUUGUGUUUUUUUUUUCUUGAUUCCCAGAUCCGACUACGCAAAAGAGCGCAACACCCAAGACGGCCGGAGAGCGAUGUUGUCAUCGUCGACAACAAGCGUUCACGUCAUGGCCCUGGACGGCCUGGUCAACGUGAACUCACUCUUCACCAUCGCCGUCUUCGUGGGGCUUUCUCUGGCGACUCCGGGACAGAGGAGCCUCGAGAACCGGACAUCCUGCGACGCCGGGAUCGACGUGGCGAAGGAGCUGCUGGUGUUCG